UACUGAGGUCUCAAACGUUGCUCGGAAUCAUUGGGCGUAAAGCGCACGUAGGCGGCCUGUUAAGUCGGGUGUGAAAGCCCUGGGCUCAACCCAGGAAGUGCACUCGAAACUGGCAGGCUUGAAUAUGGAAGAGGGUCGCGGAAUUCCCGGUGUAGAGGUGAAAUUCGUAGAUAUCGGGAGGAACACCGGUGGCGAAGCGGCGACCUGGGCAGAUACUGACGCUGAGGUGCGAAAGCGUGGGGAGC
rnacentral:rRNA from 1 species